rnacentral:sRNA from 1 species
GCUUUGUUGCAGAACCUGAAGGAAAAGAUCGCCCUUUUGAAGGACUUAUUGCUAAGAGCUGUGUCAACACAUCAGAUAACACAGCUUGAAGGGGACCGAAGACAGAACCUCUUGGAUGAUCUUGUAACUCGAGAGAGACUACUUCUGGCAUCCUUUAAGAAUGAGGGUGCCGAACCAGAUCUAAUCAGGACCAGAAGUCUAGGAUAGUUCAGAAUAAGCUUCUAGAAGAAUUCUGUUUAAAAAUAAUCUAAGUACUGUCAAGGGGAAAUGACUCCUGUGGAGUGAUUUGAAGA